rnacentral:lncRNA from 1 species
GACUAAAUUGAAUUUUAAACAAAUUUUAAAGUAUAAAUUGUAAAAAUAAAAAAAUCAAAUAAAGGACUAAAUUAGGAUAUGUAAAAAUGCACAGGGACCAAAAGGGGUAUUAUCCCAACCCCAAUACACGUGUAAAAAGAUAUAGAAUGAAAUUUAAAAAAGGGGAAAAAAAUGGGGGGAAGGGCUUAAGCAGCAAUUAGACCUUCCCCUUGAAAACCCGCGGAUCCUAAAGGGAUCCGGGUCGGGUCAUCGGUUCGACCCCCAAAACGACGUCAUUUUGGGCAUUUUAAGCUACGCCCAAAACGACGUCGUAUAAUGCACCCUAUAAAAGUUAAAAAAAACUAAAAAAAAAUUAAUUUUCCCUUCUCUUUUAAAAAAAAACAUUUUAUUCCCUUUUUUCCUCUCAAACACCCUUCCUUGUCCAGUCACAGGGACGGCGAGGAUCCGUUGUGGCCACCGAUCAUCGACAACGAAGACCGUUGCCUCCGGUAGCUGAAGUUCUCCGAAACUUUCUCCUGUGAGUCUUUUUUCGCGUAUAAUGCAAAUCUAGGGUCAAAAUCCCCAGGAAUCCGACCAAAGGUCGGCGAAAGGCCUAGAAACCUUUUAGUUUCCCCCUUUCCGACGAGACCCUUGACAGAACCCUAUUGGGUUCAGGGGCCUUUCAAGUCAGAGAAGGCCUCCCAUGACAGUAGACAGAGCGUCGCAGGUAAAAAAUAAGCCUUUUGUUUUUUUUCGAAAGGAAAAAGAAAAACAAUGGAUGAGCUACCUUUUUUUUAAUCUUUUUUUUUCUAUUUCAUUCCUGAUAAUGUUGCAAAAUGGUUUUGGCUUUUAUAGCCAAAUAGAUUACAAUGUAUAUAUACUUUUUUUGUUUUCUUUUUAUAUGUUUCUUUGUUUUUCUCUGCUUUUCUUUUUUUUUUGUCUUUGCAGGUGGUGGUGAGGGGGACCUUUGAUCAAUGGCGAUGGGAAGUCGCG